rnacentral:lncRNA from 1 species
AGAGAAGGGAAGAGCAAGUGAUAGACUGUGAAAAAUCCCCUAGUUUGACGACGUUUCUCCAGGAUGAGGAGCCUGGACAAAGUUCAAAGCCAGUUUCCAGCAGAGAUAAAGAAGCAAUUGGAUCACAAAUUCCUGCUAUAUCUUAAAGGGAUGCGACUAGGGCAGCAAAGGAUUUCUCAGUUCUUUGUUUCAAAGGAUAGACUGGGGUGGGGGUAGGUGGGGGCUGAUAGACCUCAAAGUGACAAGCCUGUGCUUUAACAUGGACUCAGCCAUGGUGAGGCUAAGCUCAGGGAGACACCAUAAGGAAGAGACAGAGGAGGUCUUCCCAGGUGGAAGAUGAACACCAGUCUCAUUGCUAAAACCUCCGGGAGACAGCACAAGGCAAGCACCGAUAGGCAUCCUUUGCUUUGGGCUACAUGAUGGUUGGAGUCGUGGGGUGAGUAGCUUGUCUGGAAGACAGGGGUGAACCUUGGCUGAAGCAGGGACAGUGGUUGGGAGUAAGUAUGUGGUAAAUGGAUGGGAACAGCAGUGCUAGCUUGGGUAGUGUGCAAAGAAAUGGGGUCGGAGGGCCUAGGGGACACACAUUUUAAUGAGAGGACUAUACCCAAGUCUGUAGCAUUCAGGUCCCUUCCUGCUCAUCCUGCUUUUGUUUCUCUCACAGAAAGCUAUUGUCUGCACACCUGGCCAUCAAGCUAUGCUAUGCACACCUGGUCUUCAAGCUAUGAUCUGAACAUCUGGCUGUCACGCUACGAUCUGAACACACAGCCAUCGAGCUAUGCUCUGCACACCUGGUAAUGGUAGGAUGGAGCCAUCAGGCAUUCCAGAAAGGGGCCGGUGAUAUGAGAGGAGUGCCCAUCUUCACAGUUAACCUGACCCAGAUGUCCCCGUGUGAGCUGAGAAUAACCUCUACCAGGCUUGCUCAUCACUUAACUGCAUGACUGCACUGUGAGUCUCCAGGGCUCCUGUGAUUGGAACCAGAAGCUAUUCUGGUUAAUCCACUGUUAAGUUCCUCAUUUACGUUAGCCUAUACUAUACUACUACAUCCUAAAGCUGCCCUGAUAUCAGUGGGGAGUGGGAAGGAGACAAGAAGAAACUAACCCUGUCCUAAGAUGAUACUGAAGUCUUGGGCUAUCUGUCAUGGUGGCCCUCCUAUCAGGUGGCUAAUAAUGCCAUCUGAAUGUCUGACCAUCUGACUGUCCUUAUAGCUCCAUGAGUGACCCACCUGACUGUCUACACAGCUCUGGAGGUGAUCAUUCAAUUGUCUUCAUAGCUCCAGAAGUGACCUACCCAACUGUCUACGCAGCUCCGAGGUGACCAUGCUACUGUCCACCACCCACACAUUCCCAGAAAUGGCCUUCUGAUAGCAUGGCUGCAUAAGUGA